rnacentral:tRNA from 1 species
AGGUUUUUAGUUUAAUGGUAAAACAUA